rnacentral:rRNA from 1 species
CCGAGUGACCAUACUGAGGGGGUCACACCCGUUCCCAUUCCGAAUACGGCAGUUAAGUCCCUCAAGGCCGAUGGUACUACACGGGCAACUGUGCGGUAGAGUAGGUAGUCACUCGGU